CACACACACACACACACACACACACACACACACACACACACACACACACACACACACACACACGUCUAUAUGAAGAAGCAAAGAUUUUCGCACUUUCACGGACUGCCUGUUGCGAAAAAAUGCUCAUUCCCUCCCCAUCCUCUCCCUCCACAUACUACUACUACUACUACCACUACUACUACUACUAACCGCAAUCAACAAGCAAAGCUUCCCUUCGACACCGCACUUCCUUGUUCCAUUACGAGGUCGCCAAAUCGCCACCAUUGCUGUUAUCGCCAACCGCUGCUCUAACAACGUUUGGUGACACAGCUGUCUAGCCCGCUCCCCCACAUUAUCGAUACAUCUGUCUAUCAAUAUCGGACACUCAUUCACCAAAGCUGCACCCUCUCGCAACCCCAUCUCUCUCUCUCCACACAUUUUUCCUACAACGUAUUGCGGCCCCCUUUUUUUUCCUUUGUAAAUUGUCAUUGGUGCAAAGCCAAAAAAAAAAAAAAAAAUCGUUCAAUCUUCCUUUCGUUCAAGUGAGUUGUAACAAAGCCCUCUACUACUACUACUACUACUUGUUAUGUCGUAACCCUCGUACACUAUAAUAAACACUCUCUCUCUAUAUAUAUCGGCCUUUUGGGUAAGAUCAAAGUGUAGUAUAUAUAUAUAUCUAUAUAUAUAUUAUAUAUCAUAUAUUAUAUAUCUAUAUAUAUCCAUUAUUUUGAAUAUAGAAGGGGAUAGAUUGAGGGAGGGAAGACAUAGUUUUUACACUCACACACAUAAAUAUAAACAUAUACUUCGUAAUAAAUUCUCUCUUUCACUUUCUCUCACUCUCUACCCCUCCCCCACUAUCUCGCUCUUCUCUCUCUCUCUCUCUCUACAUAUGUUUGUAUUUACAUUUUUACAGUUCUCUUUAUACAUGUAAAUACACGCGUAUCCGAUGUUUUCCACGUACGAAUUAUGUUCAUAUCUAUUAGAUAUGGAGAGACCGGUUGAGAUCUAAAUCGACCAAAAGAGAAAAAAGAGAUUGAUAACUACAUACAUACAUACAUUAUAAAUUUAUUAUAUAUAUAUAUAUAUAUAUAUAUAUAUAUAUAUAUCUAUGUACAUAUAUGUAUAACAUAUAUGUAUACACACACAUUUAUACAUUAGACAAAUUCAUACCACAUACAUACAACCUUACCUACAUAGACCUAUAAAUUCAAACAUAUAUAGACAUAUAUAGCUACAGAUGUAUGUUGAAUUCAACAUGCAGUUUUAUACGGCAUAUAUACGCAAAAAAAUUAGCCACGGAACCCCUACGACGGAGGCGGGAUGACAUGGGACCAAUUUUAGAAAAGACAACGAUACGCAGAAAGCAAAAUAUUAUAACCGAAACAUGACAGAAAAACAGUACAAAAAUAAGGUAUGACACGAAAAAAGAAGAAAAUUAUCAUUUUAAUGAACAAGUAAUAAAAGAAAAAUAUUUUGAACAGUCUAACAAUAACUUUGAAGAUCGUGACAACAGCAACAACAUCUGCACAGUGACAAACGUUUUUAUUUAUUCAUAUAAAACUAGUUUUGGAUGUGUUGUGUCACAAACAGAAGUUUUAGAUUUAACACAGUCCCCAUCCGAAACAGAGAGAAUGAUUUUCUAAAAUCAGAUAUUAAUGCCUCCUUGUCGCAGGAUGUAAUCUAAGAGAACAAUGAAUAAGUAAAUGAAUGAAUGAAUUAAUUAAUAUCAGUAUUUUGAAAAAAAAAUGGCAGAUCAAAGUGACAGACAAUGGCCAAACACGUCAUGUCGCAAACAGGGUUAGAGACACACAGAUUGGCGGAAACUAUGCAGUGACAUCACAAUAAAUUGUGAAAGUCUUAUCCAGAAGACAAAGGUUUUAUCUACCACCGCCAACUCUAAAAAUACUAAUGAUUGACUUUGAAUGGUUGAGACAACAGCAGGAACAAUGUCCGGUGAAUAGGAACAUGUAGAGAUCUAACCCGACCUACCCAGCACUUUUUAACAUUCCUCAUAUCUUAUUAUCUUUUAUUUACAUCUAAUUGCUUUGUUUUAUUAUAUUUCUGUGUAAUUACUAAUUAAAUAACUUUACAAUUUGUCA